CUCAUUCUCUCUUGCUGCCACCAGGCCUUUAAAUUCAUUCUUCAAGUUCGUCCCGGAGGGCAUCGUUUUUCCUGCCUUGAGGAAGCAACAACAAAUAACCCAGGAAAAACACUGCAUAAACAUGGCAUCCAAAGAGAGGAAGCAGAGACAUGAUGCACCAACUACUACUUUAGUAAUUGAAGAGAGAGAGAAGAGCCUGAAGUCAUUCAAUAAUUAGAUCAAAUAAUUUACUAAUGGAUCAUUUGUCUUCCCUUCCAAUCUUCCUUAGCAAGUUGGCUAAUUGCUCCAUGGUCACAAGAUAGCUGCUGAAUCUCUAGAAAUCAUUCCCAAGUCCCAUUCAGGAAGAAAAUAAAAGGGUGCAUUGGCUUUUUCUGUUUCCCUCUUCUCAGAACUCUCUCAGCAGACUUUCACUUACGUGUUAUAUAGUCCAGAACUGGAUGGCAUGGCUCCCCACCGUGUGCAAGGGAGAUUCAACAGGAUUUGGUUUUUCAGCCUCUGUUGGGAGAGACCAAGAGACAGAAGGAGACUGGGUAACACUGUCCACCGUAACCACUUAGUAUAGUGAUAACUCUGGGCAAAUAUUAAUUACUACUGGGCUAGUUGAAAGUUUCUGGGAAGCAAAUCAGUUGCUAAGCACAUGCUCUAUGAGAACCCAUAAUAUAAAUAAGAAGAAGAAAAAAGAAGGUUUAAAUGUUGGCUUACUUAGAGGAAUGCCUAGUUUCUUCUCUAUCACUGUGGUAACCACUAGGUUACAACUGUUACCUUUUCUCACAGAAAGACAAUUCCAAAACAGACCUCAAAUGAAAAUGCUACACAAAUAAUGGAUUAAUUGGGUACCAUUUCUACUCUUCUCAUCAUGUUUUACAAGCAGUUGAAAUAAUAUGUGCCCUUCCCAGUCCCUUUUUAGUAUUUGUCAGUAGAAUAGAGUGUCAAAAACGACUUACGAUGCCUAAAACAUUUAGAAAUUAAAAUAGCAUGUGGUGGUGCCAUGACCUUUUCAAUAUGCUGGUGUUUCAAUUGUUCAGCCAUUCCUCUUGUUCUUUUUCCUGACUGUUCUUUAUCAGAGGAAAAGGUAAAUUGGCACCUCAAGUAUGGAGUACUCAAAGGAACUAAACAGCACAUUAUUGAAACAAUUCAGAGGCAAUCCCGCAUAGCUUCCAAGUGCCAUGGAAACAAAAGAUGGUAACUUUAUUAAUUGUGAAAGGUUGGGGGAACGAAUUUAGUAUCUUGCUUUGCCAGUUUUCCUCUAGUGCACAGUAUAGUUUCCAGGACCUGCAUACAAACAUCAGUUCAUGAUCAAAAUGUGACCUUGCCUGUCCCGAUGAAUAAAACUAAUAAAUUCCCCAAUGAUAUGCUUAUUAUGCUUCUCUGAGGGAAGAUGGUUGCUUUCGUGUCAUUGUGGUUCCAUAAUAUCUCUUGGAAGGAGGCUUCUGAGGAUGCCCAAGCUGCUCCUCUGGGUUUCCCUAACACCCUGCAUGCGCUCAUCGUGUAGAAAUUGCCACAUAGCGUUACAGGUUUCUGUUCACUUAUUUCGUCUGCCCAGUGGGAAUGUGAUUUCCUGAAGAGCACCUAGCACAUGCCUAAAACACAAAAGGACUUCACUAAACAUUUGCUGAAUAACUACCACCUGUGCCAAGAAGCAGACCGGCUUCCGCUACAACUGACAGCCCUUCUCUCCUGCUAGUCAGAGAUUCUCUGUCUUGGAAGAGACUUUAGGAAACAGCAGACAUCUUGGAUGUGUGCCUGCCUGCAUUACCACCUUCUCCAGUUUUAUCCUAAAGCUGACUUCAGUACAGCUCUCCCCAAACUGUGGAAACUUUGGAUGACUACCUAAGAACUCCACAAACUCAAGCAGCUUUAAAGCCACUCUGCAACUUUCCUACAAUGAAAGAGGAGGCAGGUACCAUUCUCAGAUAAUACCGAUGAAUUCAGAAACCAAAAUAAAUCUGAAAAAAUGUAGUGCUUCACACUUACAUUUAUACCCUUCUCCCUUCUUGCUUUAUUCCCCAGAAGUGAGUAGCUCCUGAAACUGAUAGCCAAGAGAUGUUCAGGAAGAACCUGUCCCCAAACAGGUGUUUGCACACCCAAGUUAUGUAGGUGUCGGAGUAGAG
rnacentral:lncRNA from 10 species